UGGCUGGAGCAGCAAGGCUGUCAAUCCCAGGCGGGAGACAAGGCAGACAAAGGUUCAUUUGUAAAGAACCUCCCUCCAGCACCUCCUCUCUUCUCCUUCUGCCCAAACUCACCCAGUGAGUUGGAGCAUUUUAAAAGAUUCCUCUGCCAAGAAGACCAAAAGGAAAGAAGAAAAGGGACCAAAAGCCAAAAUGAAAUUUAUAGUACUUGUCACCAUUGGGCUAACUUUGCUGCUAGGAGCCCAAACCAUGCCUGCAAAUCGCCUCUCUUGCUACAGAAAGAUACUGAAAGAUCGCAACUGUCACAGCCUUCCAGAAGGAGUAGCUCACCUGACAAAGAUUGAUGUAAAUGUCCAGGAUCAUUUCUGGGAUGGAAAGGGAUGUGAGAUGAUCUGUUACUGCAACUUCAGCGAACUUCUCUGCUGCCCAAAAGAUGUCUUCUUUGGACCAAAGAUCUCUUUUGUGAUUCCUUGCAACAGUCACUGAGAAUCUUCAUGUGUUCUGGAGAGCACCAUUGCUAAUUUCCCAGAAACUGCACUAUAUCAAGUAUAACUGCAUUUCUAGUUUCUAUCCAGUGCAAUAAAGCACAGAUUCUAUAAAUUCUUGCUUGUCUAAGACAAGUAAACGUGUGUUAAAUAAGUAGUAAUAAAAAUUAAUUCAAUUUAA